rnacentral:rRNA from 1 species
UAAAGAAUUUCGGUUAUCGAUGGGGAUGCGUUCCAUUAGUUAGUUGGCGGGGUAACGGCCCACCAAGACGACGAUGGAUAGGGGUUCUGAGAGGAAGGUCCCCCACAUUGGAACUGAGACACGGUCCAAACUCCUACGGGAGGCAGCAGUGAGGAAUAUUGGUCAAUGGACGAGAGUCUGAACCAGCCAAGUAGCGUGAAGGAUGACUGCCCUAUGGGUUGUAAACUUCUUUUAUAUGGGAAUAAAACAGGGUAUGCAUACCCUCUUGUAUGUACCAUAUGAAUAAGGAUCGGCUAACUCCGUGCCAGCAGCCGCGGUAAUACGGAGGAUCCGAGCGUUAUCCGGAUUUAUUGGGUUUAAAGGGAGCGUAGGUGGAUUGUUAAGUCAGUUGUGAAAGUUUGCGGCUCAACCGUAAAAUUGCAGUUGAAACUGGCAGUCUUGAGUACAGUAGAGGUGGGCGGAAUUCGUGGUGUAGCGGUGAAAUGCUUAGAUAUCACGAAGAACUCCGAUUGCGAAGGCAGCUCACUGGACUGCAACUGACACUGAUGCUCGAAAGUGUGGGUAUCAAACAGGAUUAGAUACCCUGGUAGUCCACACAGU